UACGGAGGGGGCUAGCGUUGUUCGGAAUUAUUGGGCGUAAAGGGCGCGUAGGCGGCCGGACAAGUCGGGUGUGAAAUCCCUCGGCUCAACCGAGGAACUGCAUUCGAUACUGUCUGGCUCGAGUCCGGGAGGGGAUGGUGGAAUUCCCAGUGUAGCGGUGAAAUGCGUAGAUAUUGGGAAGAACACCGGUGGCGAAGGCGACCAUCUGGACCGGAACUGACGCUGAGGCGCGAAAGCCAGGGGAGCGAAU
rnacentral:rRNA from 1 species